UACGAGGGGGGCAAGCGUUGUUCGGAAUCACUGGGCGUAAAGCGUACGCAGGCGGAUAAGUAAGCUAGGGGUGAAAGCCCGGGGCUCAACCUCGGAAUUGCCUUUAGAACUGCUUAUCUAGAGAUCGGAAGAGGAUGGCGGAAUUCCUAGUGUAGAGGUGAAAUUCGUAGAUAUUAGGAGGAACACCAGUGGCGAAGGCGGCCAUCUGGCCCGAUACUGACGCUCAUGUACGAAAGCGUGGGGAGCAAACAGG
rnacentral:rRNA from 1 species